CCUCCCAACCAGAAGGGAUUGCAAGCACGGUUGAGUUCACCUGUCUCAAUGUGCUUGCUGAUGGGGACAACAAGGGAGACUGGAAGGACCUGAGUUGAGACCAGAGGAGUCACUGACGAUGUGGAAGACACAGGUGGCAUUAAUGCAAGGGUCACAAUUGAGCCUCCAUGUUGAGUGACACCUCAGGGAGGGGAACACCAAGGAGGAGGAGGCCAAGCACCUGCUCAAGGAAGUGAGACUGCCGACUGCAGGAGAAUCUAAGGAGCCCCAGCCAGGAGGCCAGGACAUGGUCCUGCCCUCCCUGGUCAUGGCUAAGAAGCUGACGUGAUUCCAGAAAACAAGGCCAUAUGUGGAGCCGAGGAGCAGGCCAGCGUAGCGUAAUUCAUUAAAAACAUCUCACAGGUACGGAGUGAGCUCCAUGCCUAUCAUUGUGCUAA